rnacentral:rRNA from 1 species
GUGGAGCAUGUGGCUUAAUUUGACUCAACGCGGGGAAUCUUACUAGGUCAGGACCAUCGAGUCGUUCGCGACUCGUACGUAUGAAUGUCGUAGUGUCGCUACUACACAAUUGUUGGAUGAGUGGUGCAUGGCCGUUCUUAGUUCGUGAUGCAAUUUGUCUACUUAAUUGUUGGUUGCGUAUGUUUCAUCGCAUCGUAACCGUAACGAACGAGACCGUGUUGUGUACGUAGCUACUCGCUGCGACAUUCGUACAUCGACAGAACAACCGCAAACUUGUUAGGAAGGACGCGGCAAUAACAGGUCUGUGAUGCCCUCAGAUGUUCUAGGCCGCACACGUGCUACAAUCUGAUUGAUUCCGUAUACGUAUCACGUGUGUGUAAGAUUCACCGCUGCGAGUCGAACCAACGCUACGACGGUUGGGAUCACCGUUUGUAAUUAUUCGGUAUCACAACUAGGAAUGCCUCGUACGGUGCAGUUCAACAGAUUCCCUGGAAUCCGUCCCUGCCCUUUGUACACACCGCCCGUCGCUCUUACCGAUGGUGGUGGGUUCGAGUUGCGAGGAAUCUCUAUGUAUAUACUCUAUACGGGGUGAAUCGCUACGAGAACCCACUGCUAAAGGAAAGAGAAGUCGUAACAAGGCAUCG